CCUACGGGCGGCAGCAGUGGGGAAUAUUGCACAAUGGGGGAAACCCUGAUGCAGCGACGCCGCGUGAGUGAAGAAGUAUUUAGGUAUGUAAAGCUCUAUCAGCAGGGAAGAAAAUGACGGUACCUGAUUAAGAAGCCCCGUCUAACUACGUGCCAGCAGCCGCGGUAAUACGUAGGGGGCAAGCGUUAUCCGGAUUUACUGGGUGUUAAGGGAGCGUAGACGGCAGCACAAGUCAGGAGUGAAAUGCCGGGGCUUAACCCCGGAACUGCUUUGGAAACUGUGCAGCUAGAGUGCAGGAGAGGUAAGUGGAAUUCCUGGUGUAGCGGUGAAAUGCGUAGAUAUUAGGAGGAACACCAGUGGCGAAGGCAGCUUACUAGACUGUAACUGACGUUGAGGCUCGAAAGCGUGGGGAGCAAACAGGAAUAGAUACCCUGGUAGUC
rnacentral:rRNA from 1 species